AGGGAACGUACGGUACGGUGGCCCCAAAGGGACCGAUGACCUCGUAGCAUGUGCAAAGUGCUGCCUUACGAAAACUGUGGCGGUGGCAUUUGGGCAUCUGUUGACGGCGACUCCAAGCCAUCGCCAGCUGACACUGGCUGAAAUUGUUUCUUCGUGUUGAGGGGGGGGGAUCAAAAUGUCAAAGUCUGCGCCGGCUCAGAAAUUGGAUCACGAGGAAGUGCUGGAAAGUGUUUGACAACAUCAGAUGUGGGCUUAACCCUGACUCCUGAAGCUUCAGCUUCCCAAAUCCCCGGCCCCGAAAGAACUCCGGGAGAUGAUGAAGGCGUCGGCCAUUUUGUACUGCUGGCGACUGAACAUGACAUCACAGUUGCUUGCAAACGUCACAUGAUCAAACCCAGAAAACAGAGAGAGAGUGCGGCAAUUCUACUCGAGGCAAUGUACUUAAAAAGUCCAGGAAAGACUUGCCAGGAAUUCCUGAAAUGCCAGCAGCGGGGUUCCAAACUCCUGAGGCUGCCGAGGAGGAGGAGGAGGAUGCUAGCACGUGGGACUUCUGCAGGAGGCGAAGCGACAGCAGUACGAAGCCGACGCUCGUCCCGCCCAGUAUGACCACGCCCGAGAUGAGCGCCGUGGUUACCGGAUUCACCAGAUGGGAGGGGCCGCCUGGCGCUGGAAGGCUAUUGCCGCAAGCUUCCAGAGUGCUGAGGCCGAUGCUGAACAGCACAACGGUGGGGAAGGUGUUGUUGUUGAUGAAGCCGCGGCAUUGGGCGUCGCCAUGGUGACCGUUGAGCGCCAGGUCCGUGUCAGUGUAUCCGGAGAACAGCACCGGGCAGAAGUUGAUCUUCACCGUGAUGGUCUGCACGCCGCAAUACACGCUGACGUCCCGCUCGCCUUUCCAACAACAACUGAGUCUUCCAUCCUCCGACCUGCCUCGCGUGUUGGCCUCCCAUCCCGUUUGGAAUUCCUGAUGAAGCCCGAGGCUGUUGACGAGGAGGUCGAGAUGAAAUCAAAUAUGGGCCGCGUCCAAACAAACAAGUGGCGGCCGGCCCUGAACGGGAUCAGAUGGUCACAAGCUCAUGAAAUCAAUACAUAUGGUAAGCUCGUUAGCAUCUUUCUUAUUUUACAACUCCCACCCAGCUAAUGACCUAUUUAGUCAGUGCGUGGCCCUGCGUUCUACUUCUGGGCGGGCUUGUCUUUCAGACGCACGAGUUUCUUGACGCAUCACAUGACAAUCUGUUAUUAGUCCUAAUUUUAAUAAUCUGUUGAAACUAUAAUGACAACCAACACCAUAUUUAACAGAAUAAAAGGCAUGUUAUAGAUUUUUUUUUAAUUCCCCUUUAAGAGACAGACCUUUCAACACAAACGAUGCAGCAACAUGUUGACAGAUUAUUUAAAAAGAAUCACAGGCAUAUAUUCUUUAUCCUCCGCCUCGUUUGUCUGCCUGACUUUAAUUAUACUGCCACCCGGUGGCCAAGACGUGCACACCGGAAGGAAUAACAGUGAAUUAAUAGAGCCACAGUGUUUAAUAAUUUACAGUCUAUUGGAUUGUUUUAAUGAAUGUUAUUUUCCUUAUUAAUGGGUGAAAUCGAUAAACGGGAUUCGCACACGGUAUUGUCAAACAACAUUCACACAAGGCAAUUUACUUUUACCGUAUUUUCCGCACUAUAAGGCGCACCGGAUUAUAAGGCGCACCUUCAAUGAAUGGCCCAUUUUAAAACUUUGUCCAUAUAUAAGUCGCACUGGAUUAUAAGGCGCACCUUCAAUGAAUGGCCCAUUUUAAAACUUUGUCCAUGUAUAAAUCCAUAUAUUUGGACACGCCUGCCGUAGUGGCUCGAUAUUGGUCCAUAUAUAAGGCGCACCUGAUUAGAAGGCGCACUGUCGGCUUUUGAGAAAAUUUGAGGUUUUUAGGUGCACCUUAUAGUGCGGAAAAUACGGUUCAUGAGAUAUUUUGUAGUUUUAUAUAGUUUUAUUUUACACAGACGUUAACCGCUCCGGAGCAGUUUCUUAACCUUUAUCGAAGCAGUGGAAAAUGUUCACAGCACAGCACGCCGCUAAAUACAAAUGUCACAAAAAAGCACGAGUAUUGAAAUGAUGAUCUCGACUCAAUUUACUCACAAAUUGACUCCCUGUGAAAUCUUCCUGAGAACAUCACCAGAGUUAAUGUGUUCUUUAAGAGGGCGUUCACAGUUUGACUCGAGAUUAUUUUCGAUUCCUACUGUUUCUUGUCGAAAAACGAUUUCAAAUUCAUUCAUUAUCUCGUCAACCAUCAUCAUGGAGAUUCCAAAAUUUUUUUUUUCCUCAUGCGCAUUUCGGGCCGUGCUCCGGUGAACCCGUGUUUGCUCGCCGUUGCACUCAGAGACCUUUGAAGGCUCACGAGUCACAACGCACCGCCACUUUCAAGAUGUGCCAAAUAGAGCUGCCGUUAUCUGAUGGAGCUGAAACAUCCACGCUCGUCGAAAGCCAACAGUGGCGCUGGCGUCACAAAACCUGUGGGAGUCAGACCGUAACCCGACGCGCCGAAUUGAACACGGCCUGGAAGGUGAAGCCCUCAUCAAAGGCGGUGCUGAGAUUCAAACCUCAGUGAGCUGUGUGAUUCCAAAAGCCACAAAUGUCAAUGUGUGUGUGUGUUUGUGUGAGAUUGGUCGUCUUUGACACAACCACUUGUGAUGCGUUCAAGGGCAUCUCAGAACUUGUCACAGCGUCAACAAAUAAAUUGGAAUUGUUUUACUGGUAAUAAAAUUGUGAAGGAGACAGAUUCAGAAAGUAGGGGGGCCAUGUCCCCUCUGUACCUCCUCCCAACUACGCCCCUGUUCACCUCGGGCCAAUUUAGCAGCGGUGGGAGUGUCAUGUAUGUCCGAGUGGUGGACAAAAAAAAAUAAAAACUCCACGUUGCAAAUGUGCUGCCCACUCCAGGACUGUACUGCCUGGUUUAAAUUAAUUUGUUUCUGCCAAAUUUGCCAUUUGGAUUCACCCUUUUACUUGUUAGAAAUGAUGAAAAACAACCAAAAUGAAAGAAGAAAAAAAGAGGUUGUUUUGGUCUCCAGCAACUAAUCCAAGUGGAGCAGGGAAACUCAAUAGUACGUCAUUAUUUAUGAAAGCAACUCAAUAUUUUCUUCUUGCCCGAGUAUCCACGUGUAUAGUGGGUGUGUGGAGACUGUGGAUAUUCAUCUUUGACCUCAAUAAAAUUGAAAAGAAAAGGAAUCUGCAUGACUAUAAUAUAUAUUGCAUUUUAAACGUCAUUUGUGUGUUAGAGUUUUGUUAAAGCCCCGCAACUAAGCAAAUAAGACGUUUGACUUGAAGGGUUGAGCAGGACACAUGGUUCUAUGCUGCCCCUCUGUGGUCAGCAACUGUCACUGCACCGCAAAUGCACUUUCCACCCUGCGUUUCGAGGUUCAAAGGUCACAGCUCAG